rnacentral:rRNA from 1 species
CAGUAGCCACGGUAAUACGUAGGUGGCAAGCGUUGUCCGGAAUUAUUGGGCGUAAAGGGCUCGCAGGCGGUUUCUUAAGUCUGAUGUGAAAGCCCCCGGCUCAACCGGGGAGGGUCAUUGGAAACUGGGAAACUUGAGUGCAGAAGAGGAGAGUGGAAUUCCACGUGUAGCGGUGAAAUGCGUAGAGAUGUGGAGGAACACCAGUGGCGAAGGCGACUCUCUGGUCUGUAACUGACGCUGAGGAGCGAAAGCGUGGGGAGCGAACAGGAUUAGAGACCCCAGUAGUCCCUGUCUCUUAUAC